rnacentral:tRNA from 1 species
GAAGAAAUAGCAAAGUAAUAAUAAAUUGCAACAAUUUAUAAAAUUGCUUUAAUUUCAAUAAUUAGGUUACCAAGGGUUCAAAUCCCUUUUUCUCCA